AUUGAACGCUGGCGGAAUGCUUUACACAUGCAAGUCGAACGGCAGCAUAGGUGCUUGCACCUGAUGGCGAGUGGCGAACGGGUGAGUAAUAUAUCGGAACGUGCCCAGUCGCGGGGGAUAACGUAGCGAAAGCUACGCUAAUACCGCAUACGAUCUAUGGAUGAAAGCGGGGGACCUUCGGGCCUCGCGCGAUUGGAGCGGCCGAUAUCAGAUUAGGUAGUUGGUGAGGUAAAGGCUCACCAAGCCGACGAUCUGUAGCUGGUCUGAGAGGACGACCAGCCACACUGGGACUGAGACACGGCCCAGACUCCUACGGGAGGCAGCAGUGGGGAAUUUUGGACAAUGGACGCAAGUCUGAUCCAGCCAUUCCGCGUGCAGGACGAAGGCCUUCGGGUUGUAAACUGCUUUUGUACAGAACGAAAAGGUUUCUAUUAAUACUAGGGGCUCAUGACGGUACUGUAAGAAUAAGCACCGGCUAACUACGUGCCAGCCGCCGCGGUAA
rnacentral:rRNA from 1 species